rnacentral:rRNA from 1 species
UGGGAGCACCUUCGGGUGUGACUGCGUACCUUUUGUAUAAUGGGUCAGCGACUUAUAUUCUGUAGCAAGGUUAACCGUAUAGGGGAGCCGCAGGGAAACCGAGUCUUAACUGGGCGUUAAGUUGCAGGGUAUAGACCCGAAACCCGGUGAUCUAGCCAUGGGCAGGUUGAAGGUUGGGUAACACUAACUGGAGGACCGAACCGACUAAUGUUGAAAAAUUAGCGGAUGACUUGUGGCUGGGGGUGAAAGGCCAAUCAAACCGGGAGAUAGCUGGUUCUCCCCGAAAGCUAUUUAGGUAGCGCCUCGUGAACUCAUCUUCGGGGGUAGAGCACUGUUUCGGCUAGGGGGUCAUCCCGACUUACCAACCCGAUGCAAACUACGAAUACCGAAGAAUGUUAUCACGGGAGACACACGGCGGGUGCUAACGUCCGUCGUGAAGAGGGAAACAACCCAGACCGCCAGCUAAGGUCCCAAAGUCAUGGUUAAGUGGGAAACGAUGUGGGAAGGCACAGACAGCCAGGAUGUUGGCUUAGAAGCAGCCA